GAUGAACGCUGGCGGCGUGCCUAAUACAUGCAGGUCGAGCGAGCGGACGAGAAGCUUGCUUCUCUGAUGUUAGCGGCGGACGGGUGAGUAACACGUGGAUAACCUACCUAUAAGACUGGGAUAACUUCGGGAAACCGGAGCUAAUACCGGAUAAUAUUUUGAACCGCAUGGUUCAAAAGUGAAAGACGGUCUUGCUGUCACUUAUAGAUGGAUCCGCGCUGCAUUAGCUAGUUGGUAAGGUAACGGCUUACCAAGGCAACGAUGCAUAGCCGACCUGAGAGGGUGAUCGGCCACACUGGAACUGAGACACGGUCCAGACUCCUACGGGAGGCAGCAGUAGGGAAUCUUCCGCAAUGGGCGAAAGCCUGACGGAGCAACGCCGCGUGAGUGAUGAAGGUCUUCGGAUCGUAAAACUCUGUUAUUAGGGAAGAACAUAUGUGUAAGUAACUGUGCACAUCUUGACGGUACCUAAUCAGAAAGCCACGGCUAACUACGUG
rnacentral:rRNA from 1 species